GUCAUGUGUGUGAGUGUGUGUUUCUGUGUGUGUGUGUGUGUGUGUGUGUGUGUGUGUGUGUGUGAGAAUAAUACUGUUUUUAGGGGUUUUCAGUCAUACAAUCUGUAAUUUGCUCUGACAGAAAUGCUUGCGCAAAGAACAAAAAAUCCCAACUGAAAAUGCAACGUGGGAACGUGCCGAGCACAGUCAUGUUAUCCGUUUGCACAACUUGAAAUCGGCUGGAUAUGAAAAGGACAGCAUUGCCUUGAUGGUCGGUGGUCUGCUCUUGUCACAGUUCCCUUAAGUUUUGUUUGGGUUUCUUCUCUCUGAAUGGAAAGAAGUGGUUGUUGUACUUCCCAGACUCAUUGUUUGUUUGUUUGUCCACUGUUGAAGCAGAUAGCUAAUCGGUAGGCUCCUGAUAAGCUUUCUGUAUUGUUAAUCCAUGUCUUUUUUUGCUAUGCCUUUAUAGAGUAUCACAGCAUUCGACCUCAGCUCUGAUGCAUUGCAUUCGGAUACCUGGCACCGAAAUCCCCUCUCAUGGUUGCCUUUGAGAGAAAGGAUUAUCCCUUUUCUUAGUCAUGACACUAUUUUAACUUAACUGUGCCAUCGCAGUUACUUUAUGAAGACCAAUGAUUGCUUGUGACUUAUAUAUUUUAAAAAAUAAGUGUCUUUAUAAGAGAAUACCACUGAUGAUCUUACAAGAUGCACCUUAUCGCCUAUGGAUCAAGAAAUACACAUCAAGUGUCACCAUGCCAAAUCAUUUUUUCAUUGCUCUGUAUUUUGCUUUCGCACCAUUUCAUCCUGGUUUUGAAUAGGACCGGAACAAGCGAAAAUAGGAACUUUUUUUUUUUUUCCUUUUUUGUAAGAGAUUGUACAAUGUGUCAUUGUUUUAUUAAAGUAUAUAAUUUGAAGUUAAAUUUUACUUUUUUAUUUUCUGUAGCAUGUAAUGUGUUAAUAUACCUAGUCAAUAAAAAAACUAGCAAAUUGUCA